GAUGAACGCUAGCGGGAGGCCUAACACAUGCAAGCCGAGCGGUAUUUGUUCUUCGGAACAGAGAGAGCGGCGCACGGGUGCGGAACACGUGUGCAACCUGCCUUUAUCUGGGGGAUAGCCUUUCGAAAGGAAGAUUAAUACCCCAUAAUAUAUUGAGUGGCAUCAUUUGAUAUUGAAAACUCCGGUGGAUAGAGAUGGGCACGCGCAAGAUUAGAUAGUUGGUGAGGUAACGGCUCACCAAGUCAAUGAUCUUUAGGGGGCCUGAGAGGGUGAUCCCCCACGCUGGUACUGAGACACGGACCAGACUCCUACGGGAGGCAGCAGUGAGGAAUAUUGGACAAUGGGGUAGCGCCUGAUCCAGCCAUCCCGCGUGAAGGACGACGGCCCUAUGGGUUGUAAACUUCUUUUGUAUAGGGAUAAACCUACUCUCGUGAGAGUAGCUGAAGGUACUAGACGAAUAAGCACCGGCUAACUCCGUG
rnacentral:rRNA from 1 species